AAUUUUUAUAGCAAGCAAGCUGAAAGUUCAUAUCACUUUAAAGGAAAACACAGUUUGCGAAUUUCAAUAUUUAUUAGCAUUUUUCAACAUAGUUGAUAAUGAGAACGAGGAGACAACAUUUAUAGUGAACUUUUGAACGAUUUGUUUUUCAACUUUAAUAUAACACUGCAUUUCUCUCGAAUACCUCACUGUAAGGCACAUAUCGAUUAAGCCAUCGGAUAGUUACCCAACAGUGCUACCAGAACUUCUAACCGAAACUCUUGUGUACGUGUGAUCGUUCAUCCCUUUCUUAUGCAAACGACUUAUUAGUUGCACGCGUGUCUGCGUUAGUUUGCGCGCUUUUGGAAACUGUGAUCAAGAAAAGCUCAAUAAAAGAUAGUCAAGGAAAAAUAUUUUACACGUAUCUCAAAAUAUAGGAACCAUAACUUUGUCGUUCGACCGUUGCACCAUUAAGCACUUUGAAUUCGGCCUAUAAUGUGCAGCCUACUCAGAUGGAUGUCGAUUAGACUCUGAUGUGAAAUGGUGGGACCGUACUUCAACUUAGGUGACAAUGACCGAUUGAAAAAUUUAACGAAUUUAUAAUCAUUCUAGAUCUCCUAAACUGCUCAGAAUCAUCACUGUAUGGUUAUUUGUGGUUAAUUGUUAGCCCGCGCUGUAGAGUGUAAGCUAACUCGAUAAAAUUGUGUGAAUUUUUUUAAUCUUUCGUCCGUACUAGCCCCGUUUGAAUAAACACAAUGCUUAUAGUUUUCGAAUAUCAUGCCCCUACAUGAAUGAGCAAAAAAUUUUGAAUUGUUUGGUGAUGAUCAGAUAAGCAAUAACGACUUUUCUGCUGCAACGAGAGUGAUACCAACCCUUUUUCUUUAAACCGUUUUUUUAUUCGCUUCCAGGCUGUUUUUAAGUCCCGAUAGAGCUACCUGAGUGUAUCGUUCAAUUAGAUUUUACUCAGCAAAGAAGUCGAUAUAAUUUCUGCUUUACUGCUGAAGAUCAGACCUAUGGUACACCUACAUCUACAUUUGAGAACAGUUUGUCAUAUUUUGCAAAAAAAAGAAAAAACUGUUAAGGCAACCACUUCAAAAGCUAGUGCAUUGAGCGAUUUUAGGUUAAUAACCACAUCUUAAAUUAAGUUAUCUCAUGGUGGGGUUUUGAUGAUAAAGUAACUUAUUCUAACCUUACCUACCGCUUGCUUAAAGACGCUGGCGCGAAAGUACAUUCUCUGUUUCUAUAGAUUUACACCACUACAGUCCAAGGCACACCUACGCGAAUUGUCAAUAUUAUUGACAUCAUAAAUGGUUUGUUUUCACAAAAGUAUAAUAUUUCCUGUGUAAUAUAAGUAUGCAACUUAGUAUUUCACUCGCGCUACUUUACUUUAUAAUUUUUUUUCGAAUUCGAACUGUAACGUACCAUAAAAAUUUAAUAAUUUAGUUUUUAUAAGGAGUCAAAGUCGGAACUUUAAACAAAUAAAAACUUUAUAUUUCAAACAUAUUGAACCGCCUUUAAAACUUUAUAGCAUCUGACAUAUAAGAUUCCCUUUUUAGUAGCUUACAUACAAUAAAAAAUAAUGAUGUUUUCAAAAAGUGUUCAAUUUCGAAAUCGAAGGCAAAUAUUUCGGUCUGGGAGGCUAACUCAAAUAAACGGAGAAAUUAUACUUAGGACUCAAUGGCUCGAGAAAAAAUUAGCUUGUUCCAACAUACAGAAAAAAGUUCCAAUUUGACGUACAACUACAACGUAAUAACAACAAAGUAUCUUCUUUAUAAAGUAUUGAACUUUCCUUGGAUUGAGAAUGAAACGGCUUUUGUCUUCGAUUUGUAUGGAUUCAUGAGUUUAUUCAAAGAAACAGAAUUACACUAAGUAACUUUACAAAAGUACAUUAUAAAGUAGACACAUUAGGCACAUUAACCUUACAAAAGUAUGCAAAUAAUAAUUAAGCGUAGCAAUACAUAUCUACUCGUAUGUGAAUGUUAUAUGUUUGUGUUGUAUAAAAGAGAAUUUCUUUUUAUUUUUUGUUUUGAAUGAAAAUUACGCGAUAUACAUACAUAUUUUGAACAAAGAAUAUACAAACAAAAUUUGACUACCAGUAACCCUUGCAAAAGGAGAAUAAUAUAAUAUAGUAUAUAUAAACGUAUAUAUGUAUGUAUAUAAACUAUUGCCUUUUACGUGUUUGUGAAAAAUACAAAUUCCGAAAAUAUAUUUGCAAAGUAAAACCAAAAACUACCGUUAACGCACGUCAUAUGAAACGAAAAGCAAAAAAUGCAACAAAAACUAAUGAGUUAUAAUUAAUAAUUUCGUAAAAUUUCUUGCUAAAUAACAGUUAAGUUUUACAUUACAUUCACUUUGAUUUAAUAAAAAUACAAAGAAUAAACGAACAAUAGCGCUUAAGCAUUAAUUUAUCUACAAAUGUAAAAUCCAUUCUUGCUAUCUACAUACAUAUUUAUAUAUACAUACUCGCACUUAUGCUUUUACUAUACACAUACGCACGCACUGUCUGUCAUGUAUUGUAGUAUAUAAAUACAUAUAUAUAUGUACAACGAGUAUAUUGUUUAAUAGGACGCAGCUAACUAAGUAGAGAUAUUUGUAAAUAUUUAUAGGCAUAUACAUACAUAUUUAUAAAUAUAGUUUGUUCUUCAGUUACUUAUUUGUCCACAAAAUAGAAUACCUCCCC